ACUAGCCUACGGGGCGCAGCAGUGGGGAAUAUUGCACAAUGGGGGGAACCCUGAUGCAGCAAUGCCGCGUGGGUGAAGAAGCACUCCGGUGCGUAAAGCCCUGUCAGCAGGGAAGAAAAUGACAGUACCUGACCAAGAAGCCCCGGCUAACUACGUGCCAGCAGCCGCGGUAAUACGUAGGGGGCAAGCGUUAUCCGGAUUUACUGGGUGUAAAGGGAGCGCAGGCGGCGUGGCAAGUCAGAUGUGAAAACCCGGGGCUCAACCCCGGGAGUGCAUUUGAAACUGCCAUGCUGGAGUGCCGGAGG
rnacentral:rRNA from 1 species